ACCCAGCGCCGAGCCCGCGCCAUGGCGUCCGAGCGGCUCCCUAGCAGGCCCGCCUGUCUGCUCGUGGCCAGCGGCGCCGCCGAAGGGGAAAGCCAUGGAAUUUGUGGAUGUGACCGAGAGCAAUGCACGCUGGGUGCAAGACUUCCGCCUCAAGGCUUACGCCAGCCCCGCCAAGCUCGAGUCCAUCGAUGGUGCCCGGUACCAUGCCCUCCUGAUCCCCAGCUGUCCUGGGGCCCUGACCGACCUGGCCAGCAGUGGCUCCCUGGCCCGUAUCCUGCAGCACUUCCACUCUGAGAGCAAGCCCAUCUGCGCUGUCGGCCACGGUGUCGCCGCCCUGUGCUGUGCCACCAACGAGGACAGAUCCUGGGUGUUCCACGGCUACAGCCUGACAGGGCCCUCUGUGUGUGAGCUCGUCAGGGCCCCCGGCUUCGCCCGCCUGCCGCUCGUGGUGGAGGACUUCGUGAAGGAUUCAGGCGCCUGCUUCAGUGACCCAGACAGGCUGACCCACUGCUGACCCUGGGAGCCCGCCUGGAGUUCCGGGCUCUCAGUGGGUGGGGUGAGCAUUGCCUGAGGCUGGUGCCCUCGGUCUUCCCCAGCAAGUGAGCCUGACGCUGUGCACGUCGUGCUGGACCGCCACCUGGUCACGGGCCAGAAUGCCAGCUCCACUGUCCCGGCCGUGCAGAACCUGCUCUUCCUCUGUGGCAGCCGGAAAUGAACCUGCUGGGUCGAUGCACCCCCUGAGACAGCCCAGGUGUCUCAGGCUUCAGGGACCCCGCCUCUUC
rnacentral:sRNA from 1 species